rnacentral:rRNA from 1 species
GACGUAGGGCGCGAGCGUUGUCCGGAUUUAUUGGGCGUAAAGAGCUCGUAGGCGGCUUGUUGCGUCGGAUGUGAAAGCUCGGGGCUUAACCCUGGGUCUGCAUUCGAUACGGGCAGGCUAGAGUGUGGCAGGGGAGACUGGAAUUCCUGGUGUAGCGGUGAAAUGCGCAGAUAUCAGGAGGAACACCGGUGGCGAAGGCGGGUCUCUGGGCCAAUACUGACGCUGAGGAGCGAAAGCGUGGGGAGCGAACAGG